rnacentral:rRNA from 1 species
UACGGAAGGCAGCAGUGGGGAAUAUUGCACAAUGGGCGAAAGCCUGAUGCAGCUAUGCCGCGUGUAUGAAGAAGGCCUUAGGGUUGUAAAGUACUUUCAUCGGGGAGGAAAAAACAAAACUAAUAAUUUUAUUUCUUGACGUUACCCGAAAAAGAAGCACCGGCUAACUCCGCGCCAGCAGCCGCGGUAAUACGGAGGGUGCUAGCGUUAAUCAGAAUUACUGGGCGUAAAGAGCACGUAGGUGGUUUUUUUAAGUCAGAUGUGAAAUCCCUGGGCUUAACCUGGAACUGCAUUUUGAAACUGAAAUACUAGAGUAUCGUAGAGGGAGGUAGAAUUCUAGGUGUAGCGGUGAAAUGCGUAGAUAUCUGGAGGAAUACCUGUGGCGAAAGCGGCCUCCUAAACGAAUACUGACACUGAGGUGCGAAAGCGUGGGGAGCAAACAGGGAUUAGAUACC